UACGUAGGGUGCGAGCGUUAAUCGGAAUUACUGGGCGUAAAGCGUGCGCAGGCGGUUUUGUAAGCCAGAUGUGAAAUCCCCGGGCUUAACCUGGGAAUGGCAUUUGGGACUGCAAGGCUGGAGUGCGGCAGAGGAGACUGGAAUUCCCAGUGUAGCGGUGAAAUGCGUAGAUAUUGGGAGGAACACCAGUGGCGAAGGCGGCUCACUGGACCGGAACUGACGCUGAGGCGCGAAAGCGUGGGGAGCAAACAGG
rnacentral:rRNA from 1 species